AGUCGCUAUGCGUGUGCUUGUGGGUGGCGGGACAGGCUUCAUUGGGACAGCCCUAACCCAGCUGCUGAAUGCCAGAGGCCACGAAGUGACGUUGAUCUCCCGACACCCUGGGCCCGGCCGGAUCACGUGGGUAAGUCCAUCCUCUGGAAGCGGGUGGGAGGGCAGAGUUGGGCGGCGCAGAGCGGGGCAGCGGCACUGUGUGCUUUCUCCGACAGGAUGAGCUCGCUGCAUCGGGGCUGCCGAGCUGCGAUGCCGCCGUCAACCUGGCCGGAGAGAACAUCCUCAACCCUCUCCGAAGGUCAGCCCGGGCCCUAAAGCUGAUACCCACUAGAGCACAGGGAGGAAAGUGCCCCACUGAUGAGAACCUGUGAGCUAUGGGUAAUGGAGCUCCCAGAUUCCGAACUAAACCGAUAUCCCAGACUACUCAUUCUGCUCCACUCCUCCACCCCCACCUGCUCCUCCACCCAGUCAGCCGAUUGGCUUAAGUCCUCACCUAUAACUCAGGAUGCCCAAGAAAUGAAUGCCCUUUCCCUCUACAGGAGACGUUGACUGUUUCUCUUAAGCCAAAAUUCAGGGCUUUACAAGAAAUUGGUAUGAAAUAGCUCCCAGGAAAAGAUAGAGAGAGGGAUAUGUGCACUUAUGUAUUUAGUGGCUUUUUAUUUCCCAUGUUUCUCCUGCAGAUGGAAUGAAACCUUCCAAAAAGAGGUUCUCGGCAGCCGCCUAGAGACCACCCAAUUGCUGGCUAAAGCCAUCACCAAAGCCCCACAACCCCCCAGGCCUGGGUCUUAGUCACAGGUGUAGGUAUGCCCCCAAAUCACCAGCCUCUUAUAUUCGCCAGGGGAACGGGGUAACUCAGACCUCUGUAGCUAUGCACAUACCAGGGCACUGGUCUUUUCCAGGCAAAAUGACUUCCUAGGCCCUUGAUCCAUGCAUGUUUCUCCUAACCUUUGUGUACUUUCACUAAGAAAUUGAGACCCUGAAAAAGAGUGGGGAGUGGCAUCACUCUUAGUGCCAGGGAAAAGUCCACCUAUCCCAAAGUCCCUUACUUCUCACACCAUAGUUCUUUAGGAACAGAGUUCCUGGUCACCUUUGGGACCAAGUAAUUGCAAACAAUUAUACACACCAGCCACUAUUUGAAGUGUUUUAUGCUUAUUAUUAUUUAUUCCUUACAACAACCCUAUGAGGUAGGUACUAUUAUUCCCAUUUUACAGAUGUGAAAAUUCUAUACAGAGAGGUUAAGUAACUUGCAUCAAGUCAGAGAGUUAAUAAAUGAGGGAGCUGAUUAAAAUUCAGGCGCCUGGUACCCAAGUUCCUGUUCUUAACCACUACACUCUAGCAGCCUCUAAGUUUAGCCCUGCAACCAAAGAGUUCCUCCAGGGAAGGAACGCUUCAGGUCAUGGAGAAGUUCAAGGGGAAAAUAUCCAAAUGGCUCUGUCUCCAAAUGGGGAGAUCCUAAGGGCCAAAGAAGCUUACUACCAGCCCAGUCUGACUGCGGAGUAUGAUGAAGACAGCCCAGGAGGAGACUUUGACUUUUUCUCCAACCUCGUAACCAAAUGGGAAGCUGCAGCCAGGCUUCCUGGAGAUCCUACACGCCAGGUGGUGGUGCGCUCAGGGGUUGUGCUGGGCCGUGGGGGUGGUGCCAUGGGCCACAUGCUGCUGCCCUUUCGCCUGGGCCUGGGGGGCCCCAUCGGCUCAGGCCACCAAUUCUUCCCCUGGAUACACAUUGGGGACCUGGCAGGAAUCCUGACCCAUGCCCUUGAAGCAAACCACGUGCACGGGGUCCUGAAUGGAGUGGCUCCAUCCUCCGCCACUAAUGCUGAGUUUGCCCAGACCUUGGGUGCUGCCCUGGGCCGCCGAGCCUUCAUCCCUCUCCCCAGCACUGUGGUGCAAGCUGUCUUUGGGCGAGAGCGUGCCAUCAUGCUGCUGGAGGGCCAGAAGGUGAUCCCACGGCGAACACUGGCCACUGGCUACCAGUAUUCCUUCCCAGAGCUAGGGGCUGCCUUAAAGGAAAUUGUAGCCUAAGUAGGUCGUGGCAAGGGCCUGAGGCCUGUCCCUCACAGGCUUCCAAGUUAGGCACUGUGAAUAGGCUCAGUUCCUCUAGAGAGCUGAAGCCAUCUGGUUCUUAGAUUCCUCUCCCAGUCCUCUUUCCCAUUGUUCUGUUGCUCCACCUUAUUGUCUCAAGGCCGUAAUCUCUUCAGGUUGGGACAUUAAUCUUUUCAACUCCUUGUAAGAUUUCCCAGUUUGGUUUCUCUCCAUGUCCUGCAGCUGCCCCACUUCUCCUUUACGCUGUGUAGAGAAUGCUCUGCAGUUUAGGCAAUAAAAAUAAAUUGUAUCACU
rnacentral:sRNA from 1 species